AACUGUUUCAAAGACCCAACAUGCAUUUUUUUUUUUUUUUUUUUUGCAUUGGGCUCUUUAAUUAACUGAUAUAAAUAUCAGUUAGUCCACCAUAUUUUUUCUUGACAAAAAGAUAAAGAGAUGGCUCCAUGUGCUCUGAUUCAUUAUUUUGAUUCUAAUCCAGGAGCACUACCAAAGUUUUUCAAAGUGGGUUAUCUUGACGUAGGUUUGCCUUUAGCCUAGAUCAACUUAAGUUAAAUGGAGUUUCUAUUGUUCUAAUUAAAGAAUCAAAUAUGAAACUUCAUACACCUUAAAGUUCAUAAGACGAAAAGAGAUUUUUUUUUAGGUCCUUAUACUCAUUAGGCCUAGCAUUGAAUAGACUAGGUAUUCACCUUAUCAAUAUCUCAAAAUGAUGGGUUCUAUUUGGCGCUUAAAUUAAAUGGGCACCCAAAUCGGACUGCAUCAUUUGUCAGGCUAUUAUUCUCUUGUUCCCUCAAAGUCAUGGAGUAAGAAAUCGAUUUCUCAAUAAGAUCAAUGCAUGAUAGACUCUCCUGAAAAGCAUUGGCACGCGUGUAAACGAG
rnacentral:lncRNA from 1 species